GGGGCUGAUUCUGGAUUCGACGGGAUUUGCGAAGCCCAAGGAGCAUGCCGAGGGGCGGUUGGCCUCGUUAAAAGCCGCAAAAAAAUAGUUGCAAACGACGAAAACUACGCACUAGCAGCUUAAUAACCUGCUUAGAGCCCUCUCUCCCUAGCCUCCGCUCUUAGGACGGGGAAUUAGAGAGGUCAAACCAAAAGAGAUCGCGUGGACACCUUGCCUGGGGUGAAAGCGUUAAAUCCAAUCAGGAUAGUUUGUUAGUGGCGUGUCUGUCCGCAGCUAACCGGCGAAUGUAAUGACUAGACUAAGCAUGUAGUGCCGACGGUGUAGUAAUUUCGGACGGGGGUUCAAAUCCCCCCAGCUCCACCA
rnacentral:tmRNA from 1 species